AUGGCAGAUCUCCUUUCAUCCAACAAUCCCCGACGCUGCCGGACCUCUUUCCACCGCCUUCCACCGUCCCCUUUCGCAGACGCUUCAAAGUUUCAUAUGUAAUUCGCGUCGCCUGUCUUUCUCGAACCCCUCUUGACGUAUUGGGAUACGCUUAAUCGAUGAUGCCGAUGCAUAAUGAAGUGGUCGGCGGCCGAUUCGCGAAACAAGAAAUUGCAGUUGACGUCAAGGCUUAUUUCGAGCUAUCAAGAUCGAUAAGUUACAAAUAAAUCACUCUUUACCUUCGCAAUUCGUUCAAAAUCCAUUCCAAUAACUUUCUAUAGGUGCAUACACUCAUGUUGAGACCCAGACACUUUCCAAAUGUGUGUUGAGGGAUGGGGCUCCAGUUAGAGAUUGCUGAUGAUUCUGGUGGCAAUGGUGAAAAGCAGGCCAAGACAUGAGACUUUGACACUAUUGCCAAAAGUAAGAUUAUUGAUGAUUCAAGUGGUAAUGGUAUAUGUAGAUCAAGAUCAACAAGUUAUCUUGAAGCUAAGCUAGCAUAGCAAUAGGUUUACUUGGUAAUUAGUUUGUACGUAGUCAGGAAAGUAGUAUUUAUUUAGUUUUGGACUAUCUUGUAGAAAAAAUGAUGUUAGGAAGUUGUUUUUGUUUUGACAUAUUCCUUUUAUUUCAGUUUAGACUCUGGAA